rnacentral:misc_RNA from 1 species
GGAAGGAUCAUUACCGGUAAAUUUUACCGAAAUCAAUUUUUUAUAACAACAACUCCGGUCAACUUUCACAUCAAACUCUACCAAGGGGAUAGUUGAUCGACUGGGUGUUCGGAUCCAGGAUAAUCACCCGAUCAUGAUAAAAAUUUAUUUUUAACCGAGCUUGUGGACUAACACCCCACAUUCUCAAACUUUACAAUUGCCGUCAGUGGAUAUCUCGGCUACCAGGUCGAUGAAGAGCGCAGCAAAAUGCGUUACCUAGUGUGACAUGCAUACACUCGUGAAUCACCGACAUCUUGAACGUAACUGACAAAGCUAGCUUACGCUUGCUUUAAUCACGGUCGAGUGUCAAUAAUUAAACUACAAAAGUGAGCGUUCGAUCUAACCCGUCGUCGCUUUAAAUUCAACCGUUAUAUACUGUAUGGGAUAAAAUUACCCCCAUAAUAAACACCAGUAUGUAUUCGGGAUUUGUUAAACCCGUGUAUUCGGGUGAAAAUUAUUGAUUCUUCGGAUAAAUUUGACCUCGGCCGUGAUAGACUACCCGCUGAAUUUAAGCAUAUCAAUAAGCGGAGGAAAAGAAAAUAACAAUGAUUCCCCUAGUAACUGCGAGUGAAACGGGAGAAGCGCAUCCUGAAUCCGGUGGUUUUUAAUCAUUGGAGUUGUGGGGUAGUGAACGUAACCAGAUAAGGGGUCAAGGUGAACUAACCUGAGAAGGUAGACCACAGAAGGUUAAAGUCCUGUAAUCUUGAUGACCAUGUCGUACGGUUGCGAUUCCGCGAGUCGCGUUGCCUGAGAUCGCAACGCUAACCGGGGGUAUGUUUCCCCGAACGCUAAAUAUUACUGGUAGACCGAUAGCGAACAAGUACCGUGAGGGAAAGGUCAAAAGAACUCUGGAAAGAGAGUGAAAAGAACUUGAAACUGACGUCAAGGAAGCGGUCUGGAAACUUGCGGCGGACCAUUUGGUUCCUGGUUAAUGUAUUUAGACAAGGUCAUACUUGUGCGGGGGAUAUCCUGUCAAGUACCUUUGUCUGGGUUUAUUAGCUGGUACUCCAAGUACCGUCACUCGAUAUACCGAUAAUUCUGCGAUAAAACUUGUCCUAGUAUGCUCGUAAGAGAUUACGGCAGAAACAGCGGUGGAAUAGCAGAAGUAUCGGUGAAAAAGUAGCAAGGGCCUUUAUUGGUAAUCCUAUGGGGUAACUUUGCUGUACUGUUGGUGCGACUCUUGAGACAAACCUCAGUGCGGUAAAUAUGACUUUUACGGAUAUCCUUGUUAUCGGGCAAAGUAUCCACACCGACCCGUCUUGAAACACGGACCAAGGAGUCCAACACCUAUGCGAGUUAAUCGGUAAUUAAACCGAUAAGCGAAAUGAAAGUGAUCCGGUGAAAUCUUUUAGAUGGCAACCGGUACCGACACGGUUAUUUAUAUCCGAGUUUGAGUAUGAGCACAGGUGUUGGGACCCGAAAGAUAGUGAACUAUACCCGGGCAGAGUGAAGCCAGAAGAAAUUCUGGUGGAAGCUCGUAGAGAUACUGACGUGCAAAUCGUUCUCGGGAUCCAGGUAUAGCGGCGAAAGACUAAUCGAACUGUCUAGUAGCUGGUUUCCAC